AUUGAACGCUGGCGGAAUGCUUUACACAUGCAAGUCGAACGGCAGCACGGGAGCUUGCUCCUGGUGGCGAGUGGCGAACGGGUGAGUAACAUAUCGGAACGUAUCCAAUAAUGGGGGAUAACUAGUCGAAAGACUUGCUAAUACCGCAUACGCCCUGAGGGGGAAAGUGGGGGACUCGCAAGAGCCUCACGUUAAUGGAGCGGCCGAUAUCUGAUUAGCUAGUUGGUGGGGUAAAGGCCCACCAAGGCGACUAUCAGUAGCUGGUCUGAGAGGACGACCAGCCACACUGGAACUGAGACACGGUCCAGACUCCUACGGGAGGCAGCAGUGGGGAAUUUUGGACAAUGGGCGCAAGCCUGAUCCAGCCAUUCCGCGUGAGUGAAGAAGGCCUUCGGGUUGUAAAGCUCUUUCGCAAGGUAAAAAACGAUACAGACGAAUAAUCUGUGUUAAUGACGGUACCUUGAUAGAAGCACCGGCUAACUACGUG
rnacentral:rRNA from 1 species